rnacentral:tRNA from 1 species
AAUAAAAAAGCCGGAGUAGCUCA